rnacentral:rRNA from 1 species
CCCCCUUUAACCCUUGGCCAAGUCCGAGCGGAUACGAAGAGGUGCUUGCACCUCUGGCGUCGAGCGGCGGACGGGUGAGUAAUGCUUGGGAACAUGCCUUGAGGUGGGGGACAACCGUUGGAAACGACGGCUAAUACCGCAUAAUGUCUACGGACCAAAGGGGGCUUCGGCUCUCGCCUUUAGAUUGGCCCAAGUGGGAUUAGCUAGUUGGUGAGGUAAUGGCUCACCAAGGCGACGAUCCCUAGCUGGUUUGAGAGGAUGAUCAGCCACACUGGGACUGAGACACGGCCCAGACUCCUACGGGAGGCAGCAGUGGGGAAUAUUGCACAAUGGGCGCAAGCCUGAUGCAGCCAUGCCGCGUGUGUGAAGAAGGCCUUCGGGUUGUAAAGCACUUUCAGCAAGGAGGAAAGGGUGUAAGUUAAUACCUUACAUCUGUGACGUUACUUGCAGAAGAAGCACCGGCUAACUCCGUGCCAGCAGCCGCGGUAAUACGGAGGGUGCGAGCGUUAAUCGGAAUUACUGGGCGUAAAGCGUACGCAGGCGGUUUGUUAAGCGAGAUGUGAAAGCCCCGGGCUUAACCUGGGAACUGCAUUUCGAACUGGCAGGCUAGAGUGUGAUAGAGGGUGGUAGAAUUUCAGGUGUAGCGGUGAAAUGCGUAGAGAUCUGAAGGAAUACCGAUGGCGAAAGGCAGCCACCUGGGUCAACACUGACGCUCAUGUACGAAAGCGUGGGGAGCAAACAGGAUUAGAUACCCUGGUAGUCCACGCCGUAAACGAUGUCUACUAGGAGCUCGGCUUUUCGGAGCUGUUUUCCAAAGCAAACGCAUUAAGUAGACCGCCUGGGGGAGUACGGCCGCAGUAAACUCAAAUGAAUGACGGGGCCCGCCACAGCGGUGGAGCAUGUGUUUAUCGAUGCACCCGGAGACUACUACACUGACAUCAAAAAAACUU